GUCGCUGUGGCCGAGUGGUUAAGGCGAUUGACUAGAAUUCCACUUCUAGACCAUCAAUUCUCUUCGGGGGCAUAGGUUCGAGUCCUAUCGGCGACG